rnacentral:lncRNA from 1 species
UCCCACUGGUGGUAAACACAUGCGUCAUGCGUGAUUGCUGGAAGCUGGAGCUGUUUUGAGAGUGCCUGGCUUGUAGACCCAGCUGGGAGAGGAUCUAAAUGGAGAGCACAUGGAGAGCUGUCCUGGAUGAGGUCAAGCAUAGCAGGUAGUGUGGGAUGGGUUUUGGAGCUUCCCAUAGGAGUUGGACUUGGUGAUUCCUAUGGGUCCCUUCCAGCUUGGGGUAUUGUAUGGCAAUUCAGAGGUGUGGGGUCACUCAUAGACCUGCUGAUGUCCCACAUGAACCCCCAGUGAUUGCUACAAUGGGUCAGAAAGAUCUGAGAAAGGUUCUGAAGAUAUCCAGGAGGAGGAUGUCAAGGCGAUGGCUUAGAAGAUGUGGCUGUGAGACAUGAGAUCAGCAGGAAUGGUGCCCAUCCAUUCACCCAUCAUCUCUCCAUCCAUCACAGAUUGGUGGGAUGAGGAGGCCAAUAGGAAAGCAAUGAAAGAGGAAGAGCUGGUGUAUGGAAAGUGCUUGUGCCCAUGUUAAAAACAAAAAAAACCCAACAAUAUGUAUAAGGACAAAAGUGAGAUUGCACAUCUGGAUGAGCAUGAACACAGCCAUCAUCGUAAGUCAGGAGUAGAGCCAUGGAGUGGUGCUGCCACCAGGAAUCAGGGCAGGUCCCUCCCAGGUCUGAUCACACAUGGCAUUGAGUGCUGGUCCAGCGUUGGCCCUGAAAUAUGUAAUAGCAGUCAGAUGGAAAUAUCCUCCAGCAUAAAGGCAGCAGUGUGUGGGGGCUCAGCUCAAAGGAAAGCCCAGACAGCAGUGCUGGAGCCAUGCAUGUGGCUCCUGGAACGUCAGCUCAUCUCCUCCAGCAGGUCUGCUGCAAACACAUGGGGACAGCUAUUGCGUGUACAGCACCAGUCUCUGGGUGCUUAUGUUAUUUGUCGGGCAGAGGGAUAAUUGACAGGUGGCUGUCUGGAAGAGAUGAAGCCCUCCAGCAAAACUCUGCAGCUCCGGCAAGAUGCGAGCGACAGAGAAAUGGCUCCAGAGGUGAUAGACUUGUUACAUCUAACACCGCCGGAGAUGGAAGGGGAGCAGGGUUGAAUCGCAGUUCAGAACAAUCGUACCUAACUGCUGCACUAAAUAAAAGCCAU